rnacentral:rRNA from 1 species
GAUGAACGCUAGCGGCAGGCCUAACACAUGCAAGUCGAGGGGUAGAGGAAGCUUGCUUCCUUGAGACCGGCGCACGGGUGCGUAACGCGUAUGCAAUCUACCUUAUACAGAGGGAUAGCCCAGAGAAAUUUGGAUUAAUACCUCAUAGUAUUAUGAAAUCGCAUGGUUUUAUAAUUAAAGUUACAACGGUAUAAGAUGAGCAUGCGUCCCAUUAGUUAGUUGGUAAGGUAACGGCUUACCAAGACAAUGAUGGGUAGGGGUCCUGAGAGGGAGAUCCCCCACACUGGUAAUGAGACACGGACCAGACUCCUACGGGAGGCAGCAGUGAGGAAUAUUGGUCAAUGGACGCAAGUCUGAACCAGCCAUGCCGCGUGCAAGAUGACGGUCCUAUGGAUUGUAAACUGCUUUUAUACAAGAAGAAACACUCGGACGUGUCCGAGCUUGACGGUACUGUAGGAAUAAGGAUCGUCUAACUCCGUGCCAGCCGCCGCGGUAACAC